rnacentral:rRNA from 1 species
ACACAUGCAGUCGAACGGUAGCACAGAGGAGCUUGCUCUUGGGUGACGAGUGGCGGACGGGUGAGUAAUGUCUGGGAAACUGCCCGAUGGAGGGGGAUAACUACUGGAAACGGUAGCUAAUACCGCAUAACGUCGCAAGACAAAGAGGGGGACCUUCGGGCCUCUUGCCAUCGGAUGUGCCCAGAUGGGAUUAGCUAGUAGGUGGGGUAACGGCUCACCUAGGCGACGAUCCCUAGCUGGUCUGAGAGGAUGACCAGCCACACUGGAACUGAGACACGGUCCAGACUCCUACGGGAGGCAGCAGUGGGGAAUAUUGCACAAUGGGCGC